GCCUUAGUACGGCGAGUGAAGCGGCAAAAGCUCAAAUUUGAAAGCUAGCACCUUCGGUGUUCGCGUUGUAAUUUGAAGAUAGUUUCCUUGAGUAGUCCUUUAUCUAUGUUCCUUGGAACAGGACGUCAUAGAGGGUGAGAACCCCGUAUGAUUUUGGAUACUACUCUUUGUGGGAUUCUAUCGAAGAGUCGAGUUGUUUGGGAAUGCAGCUCUAAGUGGGUGGUAAAUUCCAUCUAAAGCUAAAUAUUGGCGAGAGACCGAUAGCGAACAAGUACAGUGAUGGAAAGAUGAAAAGAACUCUGAAGAGAGAGUGAAAAAGUACGUGAAAUUGCUGAAAGGGAAGGGCUUGAGGUCAGACUUGGUGUUUAAUGAUUAUCAGUUCUUCUUGGACUGUGCACUCGUUUUUCACCGGGCCAAUAUCAGUUUUAGCGGUAGAGUACCCCUUGAAAUGUGGCUUCCUUCGGGGAGUGUUAUAGUCUUGGGGAGAUCUACUUGCUGGGACUGAGGACUGCGCUUCGGCAAGGAUAUUGGCGUAAUGACCUUAAGCCGCCCGUCUGA
rnacentral:rRNA from 1 species